UUUCCGUAGGUGAACCUGCGGAAGGAUCAUUACAUUCAGUAGCCUAGCUACUUGUUUAUACCCUUGUUUUUUGCGUACCUAUUGUUUCCUCGGUGGGCUUGCCUGCCGGUUGGACAACACUAUAACCAUUUUAAAUCUUCAAUCAGCGUCUGAAUUAUACAUAAUAAUUACAACUUUCAACAACGGAUCUCUUGGUUCUGGCAUCGAUGAAGAACGCAGC
rnacentral:misc_RNA from 1 species